CCCUUAGAGUUUGAUCCUGGCUCAGGAUGAACGCUAGCUACAGGCUUAACACAUGCAAGUCGAGGGGCAGCAUGAUUGAAGCUUGCUUCAAUCGAUGGCGACCGGCGCACGGGUGAGUAACACGUAUCCAACCUGCCGAUAACUCGGGGAUAGCCUUUCGAAAGAAAGAUUAAUACCCGAUAGCAUAGUAUUUCCGCAUGGUUUCACUAUUAAAGAACUUCGGUUAUCGAUGGGGAUGCGUUCCAUUAGAUAGUUGGCGGGGUAACGGCCCACCAAGUCAACGAUGGAUAGGGGUUCUGAGAGGAAGGUCCCCCACAUUGGAACUGAGACACGGUCCAAACUCCUACGGGAGGCAGCAGUGAGGAAUAUUGGUCAAUGGACGAGAGUCUGAACCAGCCAAGUAGCGUGAAGGAUGACUGCCCUAUGGGUUGUAAACUUCUUUUAUACGGGAAUAAAGUGGAGUAUGC
rnacentral:rRNA from 1 species